rnacentral:rRNA from 1 species
UAACGCGUGAGGAACCUGCCUCAAAGAGGGGGACAACAGUUGGAAACGACUGCUAAUACCGCAUAAGCCCACAGCUCGGCAUCGAGCAGAGGGGAAAGGAGUGAUCCGCUUUGAGAUGGCCUCGCGUCCGAUUAGCUAGUUGGUGAGGUAAUGGCCCACCAAGGCGACGAUCGGUAGCCGGACUGAGAGGUUGAACGGCCACAUUGGGACUGAGACACGGCCCAG